UACGAAGGGGGCUAGCGUUGCUCGGAAUCACUGGGCGUAAAGCGCACGUAGGCGGAUCUUUAAGUCAGGGGUGAAAUCCUGGAGCUCAACUCCAGAACUGCCCUUGAUACUGGGGAUCUUGAGUCCGGAAGAGGUGAGUGGAACUCCGAGUGUAGAGGUGAAAUUCGUAGAUAUUCGGAAGAACACCAGUGGCGAAGGCGGGUCUCUGGGCCGAUACUGACGCUGAGACGCGAAAGCGCGGGGAGCGAACGGG
rnacentral:rRNA from 1 species